AACGCGAAGAACCUUACCUGGGCUUGAACCGCACAGGACCAUCUUUGGAAACAGAGACUUCCCGCAAGGGACCUGUGUAGAGGUGCUGCAUGGCUGUCGUCAGCUCGUGCCGUGAGGUGUUGGGUUAAGUCCCGCAACGAGCGCAACCCUUGUCAUUAGUUGCCAACACUUAAGGUGGGGACUCUAAUGAGACUGCCUAGGUUAACUAGGAGGAAGGCGAGGAUGACGUCAAGUCCGCAUGGCCUUUAUGUCUGGGGCAACACACGUGCUACAAUGGUCGGUACAGAAGGUAGCAAAGCCGCAAGGUGGAGCAAAUCCGUAAAGCCGAUCUCAGUUCGGAUUGUAGUCUGCAACUCGACUACAUGAAGUUGGAAUUGCUAGUAAUGACGCGUCAGCUACAGCGUCGUGAAUACGUUCCCGGGCCUUGUACACACCGGAGUA
rnacentral:rRNA from 1 species